UUAAGAGGGACAAACCGGGGGCAUUCGUAUCAUUACGCGAGAGGUGAAAUUCGUGGACCGUAGUGAGACGCCCAACAGCGAAAGCAUUUGCCAAGAAUGUCUUCAUUAAUCAAGAACGAAAGUCAGAGGUUCGAAGGCGAUUAGAUACCGCCCUAGUUCUGACCGUAAACGAUGCCAUCUCGCGAUUCGGAGGGUUUUUGCCCUGCCGAGGAGCUAUCCGGAAACGAAAGUCUUUCGGUUCCGGGGGUAGUAUGGUUGCAAAGCUGAAACUUAAAGAAAUUGACGGAAGGGCACCACAAGGCGUGGAGCUUGCGGCUUAAUUUGACUCAACACGGGAAAACUCACCCGGUCCGGACACCAUUAGGACUGACAGAUUGAAAGCUCUUUCUCGAUUUGGUGGUUGGUGGUGCAUGGCCGUUCUUAGUUGGUGGAGUGAUUUGUCUGGUUUAUUCCGAUAACGAGCGAGACUCUAGCCUGCUAAAUAGUUGGCGAAUCUUCGGGUUCGUAUAACUUCUUAGAGGGAUAAGCGGUGUUUAGCCGCACGAGAUUGAGCGAUAACAGGUCUGUGAUGCCCUUAGAUGUCCGGGGCUGCACGCGUGCUACACUGGUGGACUCAGCGGGUUUUUCCUAUGCCGAAAGGUAUCGGUAAACCGUUGAAAUUCUUCCAUGUCCGGGAUAGGGUAUUGUAAUUAUUGCCCUUAAACGAGGAAUGCCUAGUAAGUGUGAGUCAUCAGCUCACGUUGAUUACGUCCCUGCCCUUUGUACACACCGCCCGUCGCUAUCCGGGACUGAACUGAUUCGAGAAGAGUGGGGACUGUCGCUUCGAGGUUUAACGACUUCGUUGUUGCGGAAACCAUUUUUAUCGCAUUGGUUUGAACCGGGUAAAAGUCGUAACAAGGUAGCUGUAGGUGAACCUGCAGCUG
rnacentral:rRNA from 1 species